rnacentral:rRNA from 1 species
CCUACGGGUGGCUGCAGUGGGGAAUAUUGGACAAUGGGCGAAAGCCUGAUCCAGCCAUGCCGCGUGUGUGAAGAAGGCCUUCGGGUUGUAAAGCACUUUCAGUGGGGAAGAAAGCCUUGGGGCUAAUACCCUCGAGGAAGGACAUCACCCACAGAAGAAGCACCGGCUAACUCCGUGCCAGCAGCCGCGGUAAUACGGAGGGUGCGAGCGUUAAUCGGAAUUACUGGGCGUAAAGCGCGCGUAGGCGGUCUGAUAAGCCGGUUGUGAAAGCCCCGGGCUCAACCUGGGAACGGCAUCCGGAACUGUCAGGCUAGAGUGCAGGAGAGGAAGGUAGAAUUCCCGGUGUAGCGGUGAAAUGCGUAGAGAUCGGGAGGAAUACCAGUGGCGAAGGCGGCCUUCUGGACUGACACUGACGCUGAGGUGCGAAAGCGUGGGUAGCAAACAGGACUAGAUACCCCUGUAGUC